rnacentral:rRNA from 1 species
GACGAACGCUGGCGGCGUGCUUAACACAUGCAAGUCGAACGGAAAGGCCUGCUUUCCCUUGUGGAUUGCGGGUACUCGAGUGGCGAACGGGUGAGUAACACGUGAGUGAUCUGCCCCCAACUUGGGUAUAAGCCUGGGAAACUGGGUCUAAUUCCCGAUAGGACUGCAGGGUGGUGCCUGUGGUGGAAAACGAUUUUCUAGUGGUUGGGGAUGAGCUCGCGGCCUAUCAGCUUGUUGGUGGGGUAAUGGCCUACCAAGGCGGCGACGGGUAGCCGGCCUGAGAGGGUGGACGGCCACAUUGGGAUUGAGAUACGGCCCAGACUCCUACGGGAGGCAGCAGUGGGGAAUAUUGCACAAUGGGCGGAAGCCUGAUGCAGCGACGCCGCGUGGGGGAUGACGGCCUUCGGGUUGUAAACUCCUUUCGACCGCGAGGAAGCCACCUGGCUGGAAGGGUGGUGACGGUAGUGGUAGAAGAAGCACCGGCUAACUACGUG